CCUACGGGAGGCAGCAGUGAGGAAUAUUGGUCAAUGGGCGGAAGCCUGAACCAGCCAAGUCGCGUGAGGGAAUAAGGCCCUACGGGUCGUAAACCUCUUUUGCCGGGGAGCAAGGGCCGGGACGCGUCCCGGCCCGGAGAGUACCCGGAGAAAAAGCAUCGGCUAACUCCGUGCCAGCAGCCGCGGUAAUACGGAGGAUGCGAGCGUUAUCCGGUUUUAUUGGGUUUAAAGGGUGCGUAGGCGGGCUUUUAAGUCAGCGGUAAAAAUUCGGGGCAAAACCCCGUCCGGCCGUUGAAACUGGGGCCUUGAGUGGGCGAGAAGAAGGCGGAAUGCGUGGUGUAGCGGUGAAAUGCAUAGAUAUAUGGAAGAACACCAGUGGCGAAAGCGGCUCUCUGGUCUGUAACUGACGCUGAGGUUCGAAAGCGUGGGUAGCAAACAGGAUUAGAUACCCCAGUAGUC
rnacentral:rRNA from 1 species